AAUCUGAAGCAAACUGGAAUUGAGAGGAAGGAGGGAGGAGAAUGGGGUAGAGCAGAAAGGGGGGAUUUAUGAGAGUGGAACUUUGAAAAUCAUAAUUGCUUCACAUCCUUUGUAGUUCAAGAGAUUAGCACUCUACAACACCCUUUUCGUUUCUCAUUGAGAGUAUGUACUUUAAAGCAAUCGUGAAUUUCUUUUGCUAAAGGAAAAUUCAGGAUAUAGAUUUGCAUUAGGGGGUGUUCUACGGAAAUCCUGAAAGAAAAAAAAAAGAGGGAUGGGGACUUGGGUAUGAAACUGGUGGUGUUUUGGGAUGUAUUUUCAGCUGAAAUAUAGUGAAGUGAUGUUGGGGCCAUUCCUGCAACAAACUCAUCUUUUCACCAACAGAUAGCCCACACACUGUUCGCUAAAAUGCUCGAAAGAAAAGAAAAAGAGUAAAAGUUCUUAUUUCCUUCUCCACUCAUUUCAGAAAUGGCAAUGGUUGGGACCAUUUAUUUUAUAGUAAACAAAUAGUGGUAUCUUGAGAAUGGCUUAAGCAUACUGCCAUAGUCUCUCGUUGCUUCUCCAGGAGUUUCCGAAAGUGUCAAGCAUGAUUUAAUUGACAAGAUUGCGCACAAGGAGUAACGGUGGCUGGUAGCCAUUUUCGAUGCAUGGCUAAGAUGUGUGAAUGUUUAGAGGUUACGGUCGAUUAGGAAACUUGGGUUUCUUUCCUAAGUUGGAAUUGCAGGGCAGUAGAUGUAUAUAAGAAGAACUGAUACAGAGAUGAAUAACAUAUUGAUUUCUGCAUGUUACUUAUUCAGCUACUUGAUCUUGGUAUGUACGUACUUGAAUAAUUAGAUAAAUAUGUUACUACUUAGUCUUGAUGAUGAGGAAAUGACUUAA